AAACACCUUAUUUGAUUUUCUUCGGAACUGAAGAUUUGGUGAUUGAGUGGCGGACGGGUGAGUAACGCGUGGGUAACCUGCCCUGUACAGGGGGAUAACAGUCAGAAAUGACUGCUAAUACCGCAUAAGACCACAGCACCGCAUGGUGCAGGGGUAAAAACUCCGGUGGUACAGGAUGGACCCGCGUCUGAUUAGCUGGUUGGUGAGGUAACGGCUCACCAAGGCGACGAUCAGUAGCCGGCUUGAGAGAGUGAACGGCCACAUUGGGACUGAGACACGGCCCAAACUCCUACGGGAGGCAGCAGUGGGGAAUAUUGCACAAUGGGGGAAACCCUGAUGCAGCGACGCCGCGUGAGUGAAGAAGUAUCUCGGUAUGUAAAGCUCUAUCAGCAGGGAAGAAAAUGACGGUACCUGACUAAGAAGCCCCGGCUAACUACGUGCCAGCAGCCGCGGUAAUACGUAGGGGGCAAGCGUUAUCCGGAAUUACUGGGUGUAAAGGGUGCGUAGGUGGUAUGGCAAGUCGGAAGUGAAAACCCAGGGCUUAACUCUGGGACUGCUUUUGAAACUGUCAGACUAGAGUGCAGGAGAGGUAAGCGGAAUUCCUAGUGUAGCGGUGAAAUGCGUAGAUAUUAGGAGGAACAUCAGUGGCGAAGGCGGCUUACUGGACUGCAACUGACACUGAGGCACGAAAGCGUGGGGAGCAAACAGG
rnacentral:rRNA from 1 species